rnacentral:rRNA from 1 species
AUUGAACGCUGGCGGCAUGCCUUACACAUGCAAGUCGAACGGCAGCACGGGAGCAAUCCUGGUGGCGAGUGGCGAACGGGUGAGUAAAGUAUCGGAACGUGCCCAGUCGUGGGGGAUAACGUAGCGAAAGUUACGCUAAUGCCGCAUACGAUCUAUGAAUGAAAGCGGGGGAUCGCAAGACCUCGCGCGAUUGGAGCGGCCGAUAUCAGAUUAGGUAGGUGGUGGGGUAAAGGCUCACCAAGCCGACGAUCUGUAGCUGGUCUGAGAGGACGACCAGCCACACUGGGACUGAGACACGGCCCAGACUCCUACGGGAGGCAGCAGUGGGGAAUUUUGGACAAUGGGCGCAAGCCUGAUCCAGCCAUGCCGCGUGCAGGAUGAAGGCCUUCGGGUUGUAAACUGCUUUUGUACGGAACGAAAAGGUUUGACUUAAUACGUUGGACUCAUGACGGUACCGUAAGAAUAAGCACCGGCUAACUACGUGCCAGCCGCCGCGGUAA